rnacentral:rRNA from 1 species
AGUACGACCGCAAGGUUGAAACUCAAAGGAAUUGGUCGGUGGGCCCGCACAAGCGGUGGAGCAUGUGGUUUAAUUCGAAGCAACGCGAAGAACCUUACCAGGUCUUGACAUCUUUUGAUCACCUGAGAGAUCAGGUUUCCCCUUCGGGGGCAAAAUGACAGGUGGUGCAUGGUUGUCGUCAGCUCGUGUCGUGAGAUGUUGGGUUAAGUCCCGCAACGAGCGCAACCCUUAUGACUAGUUGCCAGCAUUUAGUUGGGCACUCUAGUAAGACUGCCGGUGACAAACCGGAGGAAGGUGGGGAUGACGUCAAAUCAUCAUGCCCCUUAUGACCUGGGCUACACACGUGCUACAAUGGAUGGUACAACGAGUUGCGAGACCGCGAGGUCAAGCUAAUCUCUUAAAGCCAUUCUCAGUUCGGACUGUAGGCUGCAACUCGCCUACACGAAGUCGGAAUCGCUAGUAAUCGCGGAUCAGCACGCCGCGGUGAAUACGUUCCCGGGCCUUGUACACACCGCCCGUCACACCAUGAGAGUUUGUAACACCCGAAGCCGGUGGCGUAACCCUUUUAGGGAGCGAGCCGUCUAAGGUGGGACAAAUGAUUAGGGUGAAGUCGUAACAAGGUAGCCGUAGGAGAACCUGCGGCUG